rnacentral:rRNA from 1 species
UACAGAGGUCCCAAGCGUUGUUCGGAGUUACUGGGCGUAAAGGGUGUGUAGGCGGUUGUUUAAGUUUGGUGUGAAAUCUCCCGGCUCAACUGGGAGGGUGCGCCGAAUACUGAAUGACUUCGAGUGCGGGAGAGGAUAGUGGAAUUCCUGGUGUAGCGGUGAAAUGCGUAGAUAUCGAGAGGAACACCUGCGGCGAAGGCGGGUAGCUGGGCCGACACUGACGCUGAGGCGCGAAAGCCAGGGGAGCGAACGGG